GUGACCCCAGCAGUGUCUGAGGGAUGACGGACCACAGUGGAGGCAAUGUGGAGCAGAGGGAUCCGAGCACCAAGGCCAGGCUGAGGACUGGCUCUGCUCGAGGCACCAGGAGGUCCAUGGUGGACAUUGGCUCUGGCUCUUUGUCUGUGGCGGGUGUGGGCUCAUGCUCUGUGUCCUUGGCAGGUACACACUUGUUGGUUUCAGUAAUGGCAGUGUUAACUAGCUCCCGGUUUGAAAGAGCAAUUUAGGAGCAGAAAUAUUCAGCUCAUCGCCUACAAAAACAGCAUCUCUCAGAAUAAUGUGACUUAUUCUUCAGCCCAAAAACAAACCGGAUGAGCAGGAUGAAAAGAUGAUGAAUGAAGCCUGUGGUAAAAAAGAACUGCUUCUUCCAGCCGCCCACACAUGUUGUGUAACAUGAAGUGUCACAAGUGCCAACAGGAAGAGGAUUUGUGCUUCAUUCACCGCUCCACUGGACAUCUAUGACCUCCUUCACUCCUGCUGUUAACAUCCGUUUUGGGCAACACAGGCUUACUGGAAAAACGUGACUGGCUACAUUUCUGCAAAACUCCAAAAACAUUCCUAUACAUACAGUACUGUACAAUCCACUGCAGUUUCCAGCUGAAAUGAACACUAGUGGCAGUUAGACACUAACAACUGUUGUUGCUUUUCACACGAACCACUGUUACAGGAUCAGGUGAUCAAUUCAUAAAGACUUGUUUUUGUGUGGUUUCUUGCACAGUACUAUGUUACGAGCUCAAAACACUUUUAUCAUAUAGUGCAUGAUUUGUAAACUAAUACAUUUUGUCAUUCGUGUCAUAACCAGCUCCAUAUGUGUGGCUUUUCUGAUGUCGUAAACUUGCUCAUUAGCGCACCCGGUACAGCAUUACACAUCACUGGUACGAGUCACAUGAAACACAAAUCACGAUAAAAGAGAUCAAAGACGUGAAGAAGCAAGAUAAAAUGGCACGGUUGCCACAGCAAAUGUGUUUUUAUUUCAUGUUUGUUAUAAACCUCAGGUUUAGGUUAGAUGCUACGUUGUGUUUUUAAACACAAUUGAGCCUGGGUUGUUUUUGGGCCAUUUGCUUAAAAGGCAAUACAGGUGCAAACGGGGUCCAAAAUGUCUGAGAUUCUGCUACUUUCCUGAUUAGUGGUACCAACCCCUAUAUGCCUGAUUUCAUGGGAUGAUUCAUUUUAUUCCUUCAGCGGAGGCAUUUAUGCAGAGCAAUCUGAUGUAAAUAAAUGAGAAUAUGCCACUAGUAUCUGACCGGUCGUUGGCAUACAGAAUGCAUUAGUUAACCCACAUCAUCCUCUGUAUCUCAGCUUUCCUUACAUCUGGCUGGCAAACUGAAGUUCCCACACAUUAUCAAGCAUCUCACGCUAUUUCCAUGCAAUUUUCAGAAGUGUUAGAUUUCACAGCUUUGACGUGAGGUUUGGGUCGUCGGUGUCAUGCAUGGUGUCUGUGGAUGGAGGUCAGGGGUCGUGCGUCAUGCACUGUUAGCGGUCCAUGGGAGCUCAGCUGUUCUUCAGGACUCCUCGACAUUGCUCUAAUUCUGGCCAGUUAACACCUGUUGGGCUGCUGCUGCCAACCCGAGUCUUAAUGGUGUGUUGAGGCGGUACAGCGAAGAGCUUGUGAGCGGGCUGCUCGAUGUGCCGAAGACACUGCUGGGCUAUUAAUAGUGUCUCAGUGCACAACACAGCCUGAGCCACCACAAAAACCAGAGCUUGAGCGCUGUGUGCUCUUCACAUGGACAUUUUCAUCUCCGUCAUCUACUGUCACCAUGCCCUUAUACGUGGCUGGCUGGACGGUGACUGCGUUUGAUACAGUAACAUUACAUGCUUUAAGUCAAAUUGAAAGACAAUAAUCUGACCGAUUCAAAUCAGAAACAUUCAAAUAGUCACCUAAAUAAAAUAACUGCUGUUACUUAUUGUCACGAGUGGUCAUUUGAGUGCUGUCUGCAAACGGUGUGUGUGGUUUUCUUUUUGUGUUUUCUUUUCUGUCUCUUCCUCUUUGGGUCUAAUUGCUCACAGGUGGAGCUGUUUAUGUCUUCACGAGGAUGGAUUCGAUUGGCGAUGGGAGUGAUUGCCGCAGUAUUAAUUUUAAUUUACAAGAAAAUAUCUGAGUUUGACUUUUUUCCCAUUUAUUGAUUGAAAGCUGUCCCCUUGAUAAA